rnacentral:rRNA from 1 species
UACGUAGGGUGCAAGCGUUAAUCGGAAUUACUGGGCGUAAAGCGUGCGCAGGCGGUUAUGUAAGACAGGGGUGAAAUCCCCGGGCUUAACCUGGGAACUGCAUUUGUGACUGCAAAGCUAGAGUACGGUAGAGGGGGAUGGAAUUCCGCGUGUAGCAGUGAAAUGCGUAGAUAUGCGGAGGAACACCGAUGGCGAAGGCAAUCCCCUGGACCUGUACUGACGCUCAUGCACGAAAGCGUGGGGAGCAAACAGG